rnacentral:tRNA from 1 species
AGCAGGAUGGCCGAUAAAGGCGUUAAACUGUAAAUUUAAUUAUAGAGGAGCCUCUUCCUGCUG